AUUCGAUAAAAAUUUAUUUAUUUCAUGUAAGGAAAACGUCAGCUUUAUAAAUUGUAAAGCAAUAAAAUUAUACUAUAAGGAGGAACAUAUGGCAGAAAUUGUUAGAUUUGUGUAUGUUAUGAUGAUAUUUUUUAUUUCAAAGAAUGUUGAUGCGGCGGUUUUCAGUUGUUUUGAAGAUUCUGAAUGUCCACAUGAUCUUUGUCCUGCUCCUAGUGAACCCAAUUGUUUUUACGGCGUGUGUAACUGUGUUAUUAAAACCUUCGGUUAUCAUGAUCGGAAGUACUAGAUCGUUUAAAGACUGUGAUUGGCCGCAAAAUAUGUGUCUGUCUCCAUUUAAUCUGAGAUGUAUGUAAGAGUGGUGUGCUUAUGAUGGAAUUAUGGCAUAGAUUCAAUAAACAUCAUACCUAAGUGAGUAUACCAAUGACAUGUAAAAUAUUCAAUGAGUUAUCAUUCAAAUGACAUUUAAGUGUCAAAUUUGAUAAUAUGACACCUCCAAUAAUUCAAUAAAUCUUCACCCUAUGUCUGUAUAAUAAAAUAUACCGUUUGAUUGAAAGUUAUUAUCAUAUAUAAGGGUGUUUGCGGUGCGGUUUUGGUGGUUUUGACAGAAAAAAAUAUCUGAACCGCAAGAGAAGAAAUCGUGCGGUUUGGUUUGGUUCGGUUGACAUUUGGAAAUAAACCAAACCAAACCAAUGCGGUUCGGUUGGUUCAGUUUUUUACAAAUAUUUUAUUGAGUCAUACAUACACAUAUAGAUGACAACAUAACUUUGUAUUUAUACAUUCAUACACUAUUAAAUAAAACAAAACUCGUCAUAUUUUGACAACAACUUUCUAUUUAAUAUAUAAAAAUUAAAUAGACAAAAGUGAAAUAAUAAACAUAAAAUAAUAACAUAAAACAAUAUAAAAGUUAUUAGACGAGAGAUUAGUGAAGAUGAAAAAGAAAAAACAAAAGAGUUGAGAGAUUAGAAGAAGAUGUGCGAUAAAAACGAAACUGAAAUAGGGAACAUUUGCAUAAAAAUGAGAAUGUGAAAAAGAAAGAAUAUAAGAGAGUAGAGAUUAGAGAAGAAGAGAGAAGAUGUAUGUGGCAAAGAAUGCGCGAUAAUGCUAUUAGAGAUUUAAGAAGAUCAGGACUGAAAUCAUAUGUGUUAGGAUGAGAAAAUUGUUCGUAAUCAUAAGGUUAAGGUAUAAUAGGUUUAAGUUUGGGUUGAAUGUGAGUUAAGUAAAAAUUAGGUUGUAACAUAAUGCGGUUUGCUUCGGUUUACAAAAUACAAACCGCAAAUCGAAUCGAACCGUGUGGUUUUAUUAAAAGAUAUGACCCAAACAAAUCCGAACCAAAUGCGGUUUUUUGCGGUUUUGAUUUGAUUUGGUUUGCGGUUUUCUAUUGGGUUGGUUUGGUUUUGAACACCCCUAAUCAUAUAGAUAUGUCUAUGAAAUUUCACUUCAAUCAAGAAUUAUUUGAUAUGUUAAAGAAAAAGAUCAAAAUUAACGAAUUUUAUGAAGUUUUGUAAGACGUUAGUUUUUAUGUAUCUUGUUGAUAUUUCAGAUGAUUUUCGAUUGAUGUUAAAUUUUAUAUACAUGAUUUAUAUGAUAAUAAUUUUCAAUUCAACGGUGAAUUUUAUCAUACGGAUAUAGGAUGAAGAGUUAUCGGAGGUGUCAUAUUAUUAAAUUUAAGACAUUACCGGAUUGGUUGAUCGCUUACUUUAAAGUGUGACUUUGUAUUUUUGUUGUAAUAUUUGUGUAAAAAAAUUACAAUAUAGGAAAUACAACCAUUGUAUCUAUAAAGAAAAUGAUGUGAUAAAUAUAAUGAUUAUGAUAUUAAGUAG